UCCACCGAUUGACUAAGGUUUCCAGAGGAAGGCUCGUCCGCUCUGGGUUAGUCGGGUCCUAAGCUGAGGCCGACAGGCGUAGGCGAUGGAUAACAGGUUGAUAUUCCUGUACCACCUAUAAUCGUUUUAAUCGAUGGGGGGACGCAGUAGGAUAGGCGAAGCGUGCGAUUGGAUUGCACGUCUAAGCAGUAAGGCUGAGUAUUAGGCAAAUCCGGUACUCGUUAAGGCUGAGCUGUGAUGGGGAGAAGACAUUGUGUCUUCGAGUCGUUGAUUUCACACUGCCGAGAAAAGCCUCUAGAUAGAAAAUAGGUGCCCGUACCGCAAACCGACACAGGUAGUCAAGAUGAGAAUUCUAAGGUGAGCGAGCGAACUCUCGUUAAGGAACUCGGCAAAAUGACCCCGUAACUUCGGGAGAAGGGGUGCUCUUUAGGGUUAACGCCCAGAAGAGCCGCAGUGAAUAGGCCCAAGCGACUGUUUAUCAAAAACACAGGUCUCUGCUAAACCGUAAGGUGAUGUAUAGGGGCUGACGCCUGCCCGGUGCUGGAAGGUUAAGAGGAGUGGUUAGCUUCUGCGAAGCUACGAAUCGAAGCCCCAGUAAACGGCGGCCGUAACUAUAACGGUCCUAAGGUAGCGAAAUUCCUUGUCGGGUAAGUUCCGACCCGCACGAAAGGCGUAACGAUUUGGGCACUGUCUCAACG
rnacentral:rRNA from 1 species